rnacentral:rRNA from 1 species
UACGUAGGGUGCGAGCGUUAAUCGGAAUUACUGGGCGUAAAGCGUGCGCAGGCGGUGAUGUAAGACAGAUGUGAAAUCCCCGGGCUCAACCUGGGAACUGCAUUUGUGACUGCAUCGCUGGAGUACGGCAGAGGGGGGAUGGAAUUCCGCGUGUAGCAGUGAAAUGCGUAGAUAUGCGGAGGAACACCGAUGGCGAAGGCAAUCCCCUGGGCCUGUACUGACGCUCCAUGCACGAAAGCGUGGGGAGCAAACAGG